rnacentral:tRNA from 3 species
GGGCCGGUGGCGCAGUCUGGUAGCGCGCUGCCUUCGCAAGGCAGAGGUCGGGGGUUCGAAUCCCCCUCGGUCCA